CCCAAGAAAUUUGGAUUAAUACCUAAUAGUAUAUAGAUGUGGCAUCACAUUUAUAUUAAAGCUGAGGCGGUGAAAGAUGAGUAUGCGUUCUAUUAGCUAGUUGGAGAGGUAACGGCUCCCCAAGGCGACGAUAGAUAGGGGUUCUGAGAGGGAUAUCCCCCACACUGGUACUGAGAUACGGACCAGACUCCUACGGGAGGCAGCAGUGAGGAAUAUUGGACAAUGGUCGGAAGACUGAUCCAGCCAUGCCGCGUGCAGGAAGACGGCCUUAUGGGUUGUAAACUGCUUUUGCAGGGGAAGAAUAAGGACUACGUGUAGUUUGAUGACGGGUACUCUGCGAAUAAGCAUCGGC
rnacentral:rRNA from 1 species